AUGGCACUCCAGGAAGAUGAAGGUGGGAUUAUAGAAUGUAUGCAGCUGUAGUCUGGGAGGUCUGAUGUUAGGGAAAAAGAAGGAGGAAAGCAAGAUUAAAAAUCAUUCCUGGAAAUGCAAGAGAAAAUGUGCUGGAGUGGUGCUGUUAGUACCAGGGACACUGGACAAGAAAGAUAAGCAAGCCACUGCUGUCUGAUUCCUACAUAGCAGAUUGUUUUUCAGACCCCUAAUUCCAGCAGCCAGUUUGAAGACCCCCACAGAAGAGUGAGAUCAGCAGAAUACACCUCAUUCAUCUCCCUAUUCCAUGACUUCACUGUGCACUCUGGGACCAAUCAACAAUCUCCACACUUCAGUUCACUCCAAAACCCUUAAAAAUUUUAUCCUCAAAUUCUUCAGGGAGAUGGAUUUGAGGCUUCUUCCCAUCUCCUUGUUCAGUGACCCUACAAUUGAAUCUCUUUCUCUGCGCC
rnacentral:lncRNA from 1 species